AGCGAACGCUGGCGGCAGGCCUAACACAUGCAAGUCGAACGAACUCUUCGGAGUUAGUGGCGGACGGGUGAGUAACACGUGGGAACGUGCCUUUUGGUUCGGAAUAACUCAGGGAAACUUGUGCUAAUACCGAAUGUGCCCUUCGGGGGAAAGAUUUAUCGCCAUUAGAGCGGCCCGCGUCUGAUUAGCUAGUUGGUGAGGUAACGGCUCACCAAGGCGACGAUCAGUAGCUGGUCUGAGAGGAUGACCAGCCACACUGGGACUGAGACACGGCCCAGACCCGGGAGGGAGGACGCGGCCGGGACUCUUGGGGAAGGGGCGAAGGGGGAAUUUAGCGAAGCGGCGGAAGUCAAGACGGGCCCAGGCGGGGUAAAUAUUGAAGGUUUGGGGGUUGAAAAUUUUUUUCACAGGGUACUAUAUUGACGGUCCCCGAAGAAGAAGCCCCGGCUAACUUCGUG
rnacentral:rRNA from 1 species